UUACGAGGAAUGUGAGCAGUACCAGCUGACAUCAGCAGUAGACGGUGACAGAAGCAGCAGUGACCUGGAUGGGGAAGACGGUUUGACCUUGCGUGGCAGGAAGAAACGUAUGAAGAAAGCUCUGCCAAAGGACUUUGUUAGUAGUCAGGAUUUGGAUUGUCCACACUUUGCCUCAGGGCCAUCUUUACAAGUAACAGUUGCUCCCCCCCCACCACAAAAGGUUGUCCCAUACAACCAUCAACACAAAGGCUUGCCAAGUGCAGCAAGAAAAAAAUCUGAAAAGACAUAAUUCUGACAGAUGUGAAAGUAACCGGCAAAAGAAGAGUAGUUACCAACAGCAAGAUGAAGGCAGUCAGCCUGAUACCCUACAUAUAGCUAGCAGCAGUGGCAGUCAACACGGCAGAUUGGACCUGCACGACAACCACAGCCUAAGGAACAGAUCUGACCGACAGACGAGACAUGACACCAGUGACCAACAAAGCAGACAUGACAGCAGCGAUUGACACAGCAGACAUGACAGCAGCGAUUACACAGCAGACAUGACAGCAGCGAUUACACAGCAGACAUGACAGCAGUGACCGACACAGCAGACAUGACAGCAGUGACCAACACAAAAGACAUGACAGUCGUGGCCGACGCAGCAGACAUGACAGCAGUGACCGACACAACAGACAUGACAGUCAUGACCGACACAACAGACAUGACAGCAGUGACCGACGCAGCAGGCAUGACAGUCAUGACCGACACAACAGACAUGACAGUCGUGACCGACAUGACAGCAGUGACCGACGCAGCAGGCAUGACAGUCGUGACCGACACAACAGACAUGACAGUCGUGACCGACACAACAGACAUGACAACAGUGACCAACGCAGCAGACAUGACAGCAGUGACCGACAAGGGAGCGAUUGGAUUCAGAAUCUGUCUAGUGAAGACCUUGAUGAUGUUCAACCCUUGAACCAAGGAGAAAACCGUCAGAGUGGAUUUCCUAUGGAUUGGGCAAAAUUCCAGAGGCGAGUCAUUCAUUUGUUGCUGGAUAUGAGGACCUCUUUGCAUACUCUUACUGGCUCUACACCAAGUGACAAUGAUAUAUCAGUUCAACAGCUGGACUCUAUGGAGGAUGCAGAGGCAUUUGAAAAUGAAUUGUGAACACCCUCUUUUUGCAAAGAAAUGACAGAAAAAUUUGUCCAUAUAGGUGGAAUUUCAGUGAAGGAUAUGAUAUCAAAGGUAUUGUGCAGCAUUAUGUCGAAGAAGCUGAUGUGUAAGUACAACAUGUAUGGACAACGGGGCAAAGUAGCUUUUAAAAAUACAAGAUUGUGCAGUGUCAUCACAGACUGUUAUGAAGAAAUUCAGAGAUGUGAGUUUAAAAGAAAUACAGAAGAUGAUUGCAACAAAAUUGUGUAAUGCCCCAAAAAUGAAGUAAAGUGGACACUAAAUCAUGUAGGGUAGUGGGCAAAUAGUGAUGCUGGGUCAGGGGAUACCAUAAAAUCAGGUAACUUCAGACAUUUUUCAGGGUUUUGGCCUAUAAAUUCUUGUAGAACUACACUAUUUGAAACCUGUCCUUACUGUGAAAACUGUUCUGUGAUCUGUCCAACAGUUUGGUUAGACUCAGGAAAACUGUUGAUACCCACAUUUUUAUUCCAGGUACGGUGUGCAAAAAAAUGUAGCAACAAGAUAUGUGUAUUCUCAAAGCAUGAACAGAAAUUUGUAUUAGUAAUUAAGAGCCACUCCUGUAAUAUCAAGGCAUACUGUGUAGAACAGUCCUUGAGUUAGGGCUGAGGAGGUAAAACUAAAAUCUGAAAUCUGACUCCUUUAUUUUGAAAUAACUGCCACAAAAUGGUUGUUGAUAAUGAAACUGGCUUUAUAAUGCUACCAAGAACUCGGCUGGAGUCGGAGUCAUGGUAACUUUACUGACUCCUUCUGUGACAAUAUUCAAUACUCAUAUUGUUUGUGUGGCUCAGUCACCCCUCACCAUUAUCCAGUAUUCUGUAACCCACUGUUUACAUUCUCGAAGA